rnacentral:rRNA from 1 species
UACGGAGGGGGCAAGCGUUAUUCGGAAUUAUUGGGCGUAAAGGGCGCGUAGGCGGCUAGAUGUGUCAAAGGUGAAAUCCCUCGGCUCAACUGAGGAACUGCCUUUGAAACUGUCUGGCUUGAGGCCGGGAGAGGGUAGCGGAAUUCCCAGUGUAGCGGUGAAAUGCGUAGAUAUCGAGAGGAACACCAGCGGCGAAAGCGCGCUACUGGGCCAUUACUGACACUCAGGGACGAAAGCUAGGGGAGCGAAAGGG